UCUCCAGCUGUUUUUGGACUACAGCUCCCAUCCCUAGCUAGCAAGACCAAUUGUCAGGGAUGAUGGGAAUUGUAGUCCAAAAACAGCUGGAGA